rnacentral:misc_RNA from 1 species
UACAAACAACAAUAGUAACUUCACAAAAAAUAACCAAAAAGAAGAUAUCAUCGUAUUAGUUCUGGAAUAUUAUUGUUAUAUUUAUUUCAUUGUACACUAAACCAUGAUGAAUAAAAUAAGCUACUUUUUCUUUCUUAUUUCCAGAAUUUUGGAAUCUUAAUAUGAUUUGUUAGUGAAAUGGUCCGAAGAAGAAAGACGCAAUUGGAAGAUAUGACCAGCAAGACCUCUGAGGCCAACCCCUUGUUAGCGCUCCUGCUCGUUCUACGGCUAUAUGGUCACGUGCCAGUCACGACCCAUCAGUCAGGUAAUGUAUCGUUUAGUGCGUGUUCGGGGGCUAUGGUUUAUUGCAUGGCCGCCACAGCCGUCCAGCUUACGAUGGUUGGAUAUUCUGUCCGAUGGUUCAUACUCCAAGAAGAGUUUUGGGCCAACUUUGACAACACCAUGAGUUCUGUCAGCUGCUUUGUCAUCCUUCUCUCUGCACUACACCCCGUCUUUUUCACUUGGGCAGACACCCCUCUCAUCGCUAGAUUCGUAAACCAAUGGAAUCAUUUACAAGUGGCUUUGCUGUAUGUGACGCGCGAACCAGUAACGUCUGUCAUUUUGGACUACCCGGUGUCAGGAUGUAUUCUCAUCUCCAUGACAUCUGCAGUAAUACUCUGUCUGUUACCGUCUGUCUUAUCAGGACAUGUUGAUACGAUUGUUGUUAUAACAUUCAUGUUGGUUAUCGGAUACCUAAAUAUGGUGUCUUGGUUCUGGGUCGUGUCUACGCAAUAUGUAUCCAUAGCUGCAAAUCACCUGAAAGAUAGUGUAUUAAUGGCGAUGGAGAAUAUUGCCAGCACACAGAAGCUGAGGAGUCAUCGUGCAUUAUGGUUGGAGCUGCACUCGUUCAGCACGGCGCUGUCAGAGGGCAUGGGAGACACCAUGCGAGCCUGGGAGACCAUCAUGGUCUUCUCGUUCGUGCUGAGCCUCUACAAUUGGGCCAUCUGUAUCCACAGUAACCAGCCCAUCCUCCAGUCUUCUAGUGCGUUUAUGACGGCUGUUCACUCUGGGUUACACACACUCCUGCUCCACAACACAACCCACGUUGCUGACUACAAGGUUCAGUCACGGUUGGACGUGGAUUCGCACUAGGAAUAUUAUCAUGCCGCUUUCAGAAGUUCUCGGAUGAGCAACUGAAUGAGGUAGAGCUUCUACUUCUGGCAAUAGAAACCUCCAGCAACCGGUUCUUGCUCAAGGGAAUGAUAGAUUUUAAACGCCCCUUGUUAGUAACU